CGCCCGCCGCGCGCGGCGGGCCUACGGGAGGCAGCAGUGAGGAAUAUUGGUCAUGGGCGGAAGCCUGAACCAGCCAAGUAGCGUGCAGGAUGACGGCCCUAUGGGUUGUAAACUGCUUUUAUACAGGAAUAAAGUUAGCCACGUGUGGUUAUUUGUAGGUACUGUAUGAAUAAGGACCGGCUAAUUCCGUGCCAGCAGCCGCGGUAAUA
rnacentral:rRNA from 1 species